AUGAGGCCAGCAGUUUGUCUUUCUAUGGUCUGUUGGCCAUUUCAGAACUUUGGAAAUGUAAUGGUCAAUCCAUUAGAAAGAAACAUCU
rnacentral:snoRNA from 1 species